rnacentral:rRNA from 1 species
UACGUAGGGACCAAGCGUUGUUCGGAUUUACUGGGCGUAAAGGGUAGGUAGGUGGUAAUAAAAGUCUGGGGUGAAAUCCCUGAGCUCAACUCAGGACGUGCCUUGGAAACUUUAUUACUAGAGUGCUGGAGAGGUCCGCAGAAUUCCCGGUGUAGCGGUGAAAUGCGUAGAGAUCGGGAGGAAUACCAGAGGCGAAGGCGGCGGACUGGACAGUCACUGACACUCAACUACGAAAGCGUGGGUAGCAAACAGG